rnacentral:rRNA from 1 species
UACGUAGGGGGCAAGCGUUGUCCGGAAUCAUUGGGCGUAAAGAGCGUGUAGGCGGCCAGGUAGGUCCGCUGUGAAAACUCGAGGCUCAACCUCGAGAUGUCGGCGGAAACCAUCUGGCUAGAGUCCGGAAGAGGAGAGUGGAAUUCCUGGUGUAGCGGUGAAAUGCGCAGAUAUCAGGAAGAACACCCGUGGCGAAGGCGGCUCUCUGGGACGGUACUGACGCUGAGACGCGAAAGCGUGGGGGCGAACAGG